rnacentral:rRNA from 1 species
AUAUUGCGCAAUGGGGGAAACCCUGACGCAGCAACGCCGCGUGAGUGAGGAAGGUCUUCGGAUUGUAAAACUCUGUUCUUAGGGAAAAAUGGUCAUGGAGCUAAUACCCCAUGAUUUGAUGGUACCUAAGUAGAAAGCACCGGCUAACUUCGUGCCAGCAGCCGCGGUAAUACGAAGGGUGCAAGCGUUGUUCGGAAUCAUUGGGCGUAAAGCGAGCGCAGGCGGAUUGAUAAGUCAGGUGUGAAAUCUCGAGGCUCAACCUCGAAACUGCGCAUGAAAAUAUUAGUCUAGAAUGUCGGAGGGGAUAGGGGAAUUUCACGUGUAGGGGUAAAAUCCGUAGAGAUGUGAAGGAACACCGGAGGCGAAGGCGCCUAUCUGGACGACUAUUGACGCUGAGGCUCGAAAGCGUGGGGAGCAAACAGG